UUGAGAGUAUGUAUUAUAUUCUCCAAGUCUGUACCGUUUGUAUAAAAGUGAUAAGUUAAUCAAAGUUUGAAAAUGAAACGGAUAAUGAUCUAAGCUGCCUCUUUAAAAAGGUAUGUUCUCUAAAAUAUUGUGCAAAUUUUGAUCAUAUCUAUUUUCGUUACUUAAAGAUAAGCAACGGUUUAAAUUUGAGGUUGUGUUGACAGGUCAUUUUACUUUAUUUUCAUUGUUUUUGAGUUAGUUUAUUAGACAAUUGAGUCAUUAUAAAGGAGUUAUAGAGAAAUUGCAUGGUUUAAGAGACAUUUUAUAUUGUUUUCAAUUGAGCCAUGGAAUUAUGUUUCUUCCAUAAACCACACAAUUUCAUAUGUGUUGUUUUUUAUUGAAAAAUCAUGUAAUUUGACAAACAAGGCACCUCAUAAAAGUUUUAGAAUGCAUGUAAUAAAUAUUAUUAAGGUUCUACAAGGCUUUGAGUACAUUAAGAGUUUGUGAAAAAAAUUUCCAAGUCCCAAGAACAAGUCGAAGAAGAAAACACUCAAAAAAACGGUAAAAAAUUUCAUUUUUCACACAUGGGUACAAUGUUGUGUGCCCCGCUUGUAACAACCUGAUUUUUAGUUAGAUUUAUUUUAAUUACUUUUAUUAUGUGUUUAUAUGUGUUUGUGUGUGAUUAUUCAUCAUUGGGUGCAUUUUCAUAGGUUUCCGUGUUAGAAGGGUAUUUUAGUCAUUUUGGACGUAGGGGUAUUUUGGUCAUUUUGUGAGAACGAAUAAAAUUAUAAUUUUUGGUGGGAAUUACUUUUAGUGAUUGGUGAAAAUAGUUAUUUUACUAAGUUACUAGAGUAAAACUAAGAUUUUACCGUUACUUGACCGUUAUUAGUUAAUUACCGGUUAGAGUGUAGAAACAUUUGAGAUGUGAAUAGAAAUGGGUUAAGUCCAUUAAGUGGAGGGUUAGGCCCAAUAAGAAGACUUAGUAUAAAAACCUACUCUUAUGAGAAUUUCCUCACACUUUCCUUCAUAAGAUAUUUUUGAGAGUGAAUAGAGAGAGAAAGUGGGAGCAAGAGGAGAAAAGGGUAGAGAGAAGAGGACUUGAAGAAUCAAGGGUUGGGAGAAGAGCUAGGAGCAAAAUUGAAGCCUAAGCUAGGUAGAUUAAGCUACUAAGGUAAGGGGGUUAGAAUUCAUCAUAAUCACUUUUGUAAUUUUCAAUUAUUUGUAUGAUAAGUGCUUAAUUGGAUGAAUUGAUUAAUUAUUCAUAAGUGGUGAAAUUCAUGCUCUAAUUAUGAUGACAUGUUUAGAUGUAUGAAGUUAUGAAUGAUUGAAUUGUUGUUACUUGAAUUGUAUGUUCAAAGUAUGAAAAAUGGGUAUGUGUGAAAAUAUGCUCAAUUGGUGAAUUAUGCAUUGUUGUUGAUGAAUUGUGAUAUGUUUCAUGAUCAAUUGUUGUUGUUGUUGUUUAGUCAUGUUGUUGAUGAUAAUUCAUGGCUUGAGUUUGCAUAAUUCUUGGUUUGUUGUUGAGAAAUGAGUUGUGUUGGUGUUUUGAUGAAAAUGGUGAAUUGGUCCAAUUGUCAAGUGUUUUCAAGUUUGAUUGAGUCUUUGUGAGUCUUUUUAGUCAUAUUGACCUAUAAACAUGUUCUGGAAACACAUUUUGUUCUUGAGUAUGCUUUAUUUCUUUAACUAAACACCUUUGAUUAGGGUUCUAAAAUGAACCUCUAUUUAUUUGUUGGAUUAUAUAAAUGCAAGUUGUUUAUUUACUUAUGAUAUGAGUGUUGAAAGUGAAUCAAAAUCGAUUUUUGCUGGAAGACCAAAAUCGGCGCCCGAUUUUGGCUGUCUUUUUGAGACUUCGGUCUCGUAAAAAAACGGCGCCCGAUUUUGAGUGACAGCAGAAAAACAGAAACAUAUUUUUGGGCCUGGAUUUGUUCCAAAUUUUUAGGGAUGGUUUUAAUAUAAAUAUAAACCUUGUAUCAGAUAAAAAAGUGUUAAGAAACACAAGGUUUAGAAGCCAACAAACAAACUAGGGUUUAUAGAGAAUUCUCUUGGUAAUAAACACUAGGGUUGGAAAUGUUUUGAUUCACCUAGAAUAAAACACUGUUAGGAUUGAGUCUCUUGGUCACGGAAAGAAAUUGGGAUUUGGGUAGAAUUAGGUUUGAAGACUAAUUCUUAUAAUUCUCUAAUAUCUCUUUGUAAAAGAAACACAUCAUUAUAGUGGAACGGAGAACUGCUCACUCCCCCAGACUAGGUAAGUAUGGGACUGAACUGGGUAAACAAAUUCUCUUGUGUUCUUCUUUUCUCUUCUCUCUUGCUGUUAUUAUUUUUGCUUGCGGUUAUAAUUGUUAUCCAUUUGAUAUUGAUUGCUUGAUUAAUUUGCUCCACAUAUCAAGUAUUUAUUGGUGUGAUUUUCUCACCGAAUUUACAACACUGGGUUAUAUUUAAUUUUCAUAUGGUUCAUGCUUAAUGCUUGCCUGAACUAGGGAGUGUUACAUACAUGGCCCACAAACUAGACUUAGAUUAGAGUCGAAAGCUUAAUCUUGAUUUGAUCACAAUCGUUGCAUAUAAAAAUUAUUCUAUUGUUUUUAAUUUACUAGGGAUAUUUUGGGUAUGUAGUUAGAUUCUAAGAUUUGUGUGCGGUGUAGUUCCUUUAAAUGACAAUUUAGGAAUUUUAACAUUUGUCUCGUUUAAAUUACAUGUUGGAGUGUAAGUCCUGACUUGAAUAAUGAUAUCAAUGUGCACAGAAAACUAGAAGAGUGACGACCAUUCACAGCAUUACACGUAUGAUAUUUAGGGUUAUAAGGAGCAACUUGAUAUUUGAAGGGUUUAUAUCCCACGAAGUUAACCACUUUUAUAUGAUCUUAAUUCAUAAUUUAUAGACAUGUUUGCAUUAAGUCCAACAAAGAGAUAGAGAAGAUUUAAAGAAUCCUAAUUAUCUGAAUUAAAUCCUUUUAUUAUUUAUGCUAUCGAAUCAACUAACUCAAUUUGAGAAAUCAAAUCAAACUUGUAAACGCUCCUCGAUUUACUACUUUUAUUAUUAAGUUUAAAAAAUUGUCUAGUCGAAACAACAAUACAUGUGAAAUGGUUAACUUAGUUCUAUAUUACCGGUAAAAGUUUGAUGCACUUAUCAAAUUUGUCAUCGGUGGUGGUAAGAGAGUUAACUUUAAUUUUACUCCAUCUUUGACAAAGGAGUAUGUGUAUGUACAUGAAUCCUCGAUUUACCGCUUUUACUAUAAAAUGCUUAAUCAAUCUCUUUCACUUCAUUGUCUUUGUUAAGCCACUUUGAUUUAUAUGGAUGUCGAUGAUUUUGGGUUGCUAGCUCCAACUUAUCCACCAUGUAGUUAGACACAAUUUCCACUAUUAAUGAUAACAUCCCAAAAUUUUGCUAAAGAGCAUUCUUUCAUACAAUAAUCAAUCACAUCAAUCAUACAACAUGAGUCCUGAAUGGAAGACCCUUCGUAAGAUUAGUAUACUCAAAUUCAACUUUAUAUUCUUCUCUGAUGAAAGAACCUUUCGGUCUCAUGAAUAAACUCCCUAAGACUUCUGGUUCUUCACAUUCAAGGAAUUAGAGAAUCCAAAAGUUGAAAAUAAAAUGAAAAAAAUAAAAAUUUAGUCUAAUCCGUACUAAAAAGUUGAUUAAUAUCAAAAAAUUCCAGACAACGGUGCUAAAAACUUGAUACAAAUUCGCAAGUAUACAAUUCUAUCGCGUAGUAAAAGAUUAUUGUUCCACAAUGAGUUAUAUGUAACUACCAAUCUUGUUUUAGUUUUGAUUAGCUGAAAAAAUUAAGUUGGUUGGUUUUAUAAAUGCUUGGUUAAAAUUCAUAUUAAAAUGUGUCAUGUGAUCAUUGGUUUUAUCAUAAUGUCAAAUCAUAAACAUUCCAAAUCUAUUUCACUAUCUUAUGUUAAUUUGUUUUCUUUCUAAAAAAAAAUAUUCUCUUAGGUAAUUCAUGUUUUCGCUCGAAAUACAUAAAUGUAUUUCAUUAGCAACUAAAUCUGGUUGGUUAUUAUUGAGACCCUUUAAGCGGGAAUCUUAUUGCCUCAAGACUUCACAAAGCUAUUCAUCUAGGGUGUUCCCAUCAAGUUUUGUGUUGUCUUGUCUAACCUCUUUUGUUCCAAUAUCAAACUUCUCCGUUCAUUACUUCGUUUGAUAUUUGAGAUGACGAAGUAACGACUAUUAAACUUCUCUGUUCGGUACUUCGUUUAAUACUUGUUAUUGAGUUUAAAAUGAUGAGAUUAGAUUAGAAAAUUGAAUUUAAAUAAAAUAGGUAUCUAUACUUGGUUUGAAUAGGAUUCAGUCAUUAGACUAUUAUAAGAAUUCCAGGACUAGAAGUUCUGCUCACUCAUGAUCAUUGAAGACAAAAGUUUGAAAUAAAAAGACAUACAAGUAAAUUUCAUAAUUGUAAAUGACUGUAUAAAUAGCUAGAAUAUGAAUUGCAGAAAUAUAAAGAAUAAGAAAGUAAAGAGCUAUAAUGUAAAAGUGCACUAAAAAUUAAAGCAAAUGAACUUAAAACAAAAUGUAGAACUUUGAUUUCACUAUAGUAAUUUUACAAGCAUUCCAAGAUGAUUAUAAGUCUGAUUGAGGACCUAUUUAUAGCCUAAAACCUCAAGACAUGACAUUAAACUCGGAUUUACAAGCUUUAAAAUAGGAAAACCGAAGAGUUUUGUAACAUCUCCUGCUGACAGCAAAAAUGCACCGUCUCAGGUGCAGACCUAGCUUUCAGGCACAUAGAAACUCAUAGACUGGUACCAAGUUAGCACGCCUAAACGCACGAACUGUGCUCCAAAACGAACAGACCGUGAUUUUCUUCCUGACUUCCCAUUGCUCAAAGUGCACGGUCGUGCAGAAAAUACGCUCGGACUGUGCGUUUUUACACCAACUUUUUUGCCCAUUUCCAUUAUGAAUUGAACUUAUGUGUCUUCAUGAAAGUUGUAGAUAUGAAUGUUAUCUUUCAUUUUCCUUUGGUAUGACUUCAUUUGGACAUCUACAACUUAAGUUAUGAUCAAAAUAAUGCACAUGGAACAACACAGACCGUGUGUUUUUCCAACUAUUUAUUUUUCUUGCUUUUCUUCAAUUUCUCUUCUCCUACCUCAGCCAAAUGCUCUCAUUUCUUCGUUACUUGUCGAUAAGAUAGUAGAAAAUAGUCCCCGUGAGGCAUAACUCUGUUGGCAGGGACAUGCAUUAUUAUAUGUAGGGGCCGGAGUUCGAACUCCAGACACCCCACAUAUUCAUCUUGAAAAGGGUGAAUUGUAGCCACAAGACUACUUGACAAAAAAAAAAAAAAAAGAUAGUAGAAAAUAAUUUACUUAAGUAUCUAAUAUUGUUCAUUUUGUGAAUUGUUCCUUCUAUUCCAUGGUUGCCAAUUAUUCAUAUUUUAAUGACAUUUAACUAAUUUUGUAAUUGAUAAUUAAAAUAAUAUUGAAGUUGAAAUAAAUGGGUAAAAUUGAAAAGAAAAAAAAAUUCAGCGCAAAAGGAUGUAUCCCUUUACAUGUUGAUGAUUUCUCUUUAAGCAUCUAACUAUUGCACAAAACCUAAAAAUAAUUAGUUGCAGUUUAGGGUUUUUCUUUUUAGGGUGGCUAAAAACAAUCCUGUUAUAUAUUGUUAUAGAUGAUUGCACUCAGCCUAUUUAUCAAGGCCAUUAGGUUUAGACUAGUAUGUGGAAAUUAGGUCUAAAUAAAUAGAGAUCAAUUUACAUGACAUGCUUAAUACAAAACAAAAGUAUUAAUUAUUAACGGAAGCAAAUAAAAUAUUCAUGAAUAUGAUCAGAUCUGCAACAUAUUUGAUAUAUCAAAUAUAUAGAUUAAAGGUAUUAGAAAUACAUGGAUUAUGGUAAAAAGAUUCAUUGGCGUUGAUAGAAAUGUUAACAGAGACUAAUUUGAUUCUUUCUCAAUCCGUUCUCCAAUUAUGCAUCAAAUUCUCUUUAGAUAGGGAGAAGAGGGAAUAUAUUUGUGUACGGUGUAUUGAGAACCAUAACCUUAUAUAUGAUGAUGAUCAAUUAGAGUUUAUCAAUCGUAUAUACAUUCAUAUUGAAUCCAUGUCAAUUUUUAAAUAAUUAAUUAACAAUUAAAAAUCUAAGCCGUCUCUAAAAAAAAAUAUAAUUAGCCUUAUUUCUUAAUGUGAUCACUAAUCAAUUUAGUUUAGAAUGAUGAUAUUUAUAGAUGGGACCAUGAUGGGGAAAUUAAUAUGAUUCAUAGAUAUAAUCAUAAAAUAAUUCAAUGACCAAGAUUAUUUAAGGGAUACAUAUUAGAAUGGUCAUUUAAAAAACAAAUGAAAUAAGCUUUAUUUGAACUGGGUCAAUUUGUCUUGGGUGAAUUUGUUAUUAUGUAUUUGCCCACAUAAUAAUAUUGUAAUAUAUUCCAACGUAGUCUGUUUAAAUGAAUUUGUGCAUGCAUGUACUUUCAUUUCAACUUUGAAAUACAUUAACCCUCAGAAAGGAAAUAAAACAAAACUUUGCAUACAUUAGUCUUAGAAAGCAUGGUUGGGCAUAACAUAAUCUCACAAAACCGUUUUAUGAAGUGAGGAUUGCUCCCACUUAUAAUCACAUUGUCAGGCCAUUGGGUUUGGUUCGUAGACAUAAGUGGUGUGUAGCCCGAUAGCAGAAACCAGAUGACCCAAUGAAUCUUGAACCAGACUCUGAUACCAUUUUAGAAAUCAUGGUUGGACCUAACACUACCCCACAAAAUCGCCUUAUGAGGUGAUGAUUGCCCCCACUUAUAAACACAUUGUCAGACGAACUCCUAUCCGAUAUGUGACUCUUAACAAUUAGAAGUUUUUCUACAAAAUCCAAAGUGCACAGCAUCUUUCACUUCCCACAAAAUUUCACAUGAUGUAUUUAUAUUGAAUUUUAAUGCAAUUUCAUGUUUUUUUUAUUGGAAGCAACUUUUGCAUUCGGGGUUGAAAGGAGAGCUCAUCUCAAGAUGUUUCCCAAUUCAAUAAACUUUUGUCUGCAUGACUUUGUAUUGAAGUUUUUGAAAUUAAGAGUGUAAUAGACCUUCCUAAUCCACAAGAUAAUUAUGUAGUUUUCUCGCUAUACAUACCAAAAUACGGACACAUCACUGACCCAUCGACGCCGACAUUGGUAAUAAAUUAAUUGUAUAUAAUCACCUUUGUUGGUGUUGAUGUCGUGUGUCAAACACUGAACACGUCUUUAAUCAGAAUUGUUUGUGCUAUAUUUUGUUUUGUCGACAUAAACUAUUUUAUACCACUUAAUGAAAAGAACAAAAAUGGAAGUAGACCUUGUAGAUAAGCACUUUAUAGUAACUAUAAUAAGAUAUGAGAUAUCAUUUGCUCUCAAUUUCCAAUUUACUAUGGAUGCAAUUUCUUUUUCGCUAGACUAUAUUUAUAACUUUACAAAUGAUUUAGCAGGGGGUGUAUGCUGCAGCAAUGUGAUUAACCAUGAUUCAGAGUUUUUCAACAGGAAAGCCAAUAACAGGCUUAAUUUUCGACGCCAAACUUCGUAGCUCAGCUACCUCUUCAUUAGUCAAUCUCCAUCCCAAUGCACCUUUAAAUUCUUC
rnacentral:lncRNA from 1 species